rnacentral:lncRNA from 1 species
UGUCUGUAAAAUGGUUCAUUAAUUUCAUGGUAAGUAAUCUAAGUAUUUUCUUUGUUAACAGAAUAAUGUAAGAAACAGACAUCAUCCAUAGACGUAGCUUUUUAUAUGCUUGUACUUAAUUCUACAUCGUUUGGUCAUAUAAGACCUUUGUUUAAUUAUUAUAAAAAUAAGUCAUAUCAUAUAAUUAAAUAUUACAACUUUCUUCCAUUUAUUCGACAAGUUGACAAACUUUAUGUGCUUAAAAAAACAGACAAUGGUAUUUUUAUUUAAACUCGAACGCAAUAAUACUUCCGUUGAUCUACGCUUGCAAGAUAUUAACUUUUUUGGUAUUUAUUUACCACCAGUCUCGACUUCAACUUCAUAUAUAUAGAUAAUUUGGUUAAUCUAUAUCAGUACAUAGAAAGUGCGAACCGAUAAAUCCGUUUCUUAUGUGGAGUAACUAUAUUUUCUUUUGUAAAUGAGGUGCAUUGUGGAGAAUUUUGGUCGACUGAUGAAAUUUGAAGGAAUAAAGGAACAUUUUUCGAAAAGUUUUUGUUUAUUCUUUUAAAAAACCAAAGACGUAUUCACAAGGACGAAUGUACAUACAACUUGUCAUGUAUUUUGAACAUUUUGUCUCAAGUGUGUUGUAUACACACAAGCAAAUAUGCAUUUGCAUUAAAUAAAACAUAUAUUUCAAACUAUCUAUAAUUUGAGAUGUUCAAAUCCUUUGACAACUAAAGAUAGUAGAAUCACCAUUGAACUGAUUGCAUUCUACGUCAUAAUCACCUGUAAUAGGAUAAUAAUAUUAGAAAAGCGAUACGCUUUUAUUAUACAAAAAAAAUUCUUUCUGAUUUUUGCUAAAAACAAAUGCGAACAUUUUUUCAUUUGAAAAAAAAUACGAUGAAAUGGCACAAAACAUUCAAACAAAGUAGAAGGAUCGACAAUUUUUAUGACAGGUUCGAUGAUAUAGGCAAAGUAUCACAGAAAUAUCGUAUAAUGAUGUGCGUAUAUAAUAUAACAAUUAUUAUAUGACAUACCAGCACCAGCAUAUGGAGUAUAUGUGUCUCAAUUGAUACGUUACUCUAGAGUUAGCUCAAAGUACGUUGAUUUUGUUGAACGAGGAAUACUGCUUAUUCGAAAGUUGCUAAGACAGGGCUAUCAAAUUAAGGUCAUCACGCAAGAAAUUUUACGGUCGCCAUCAUGAGCUGAUUGGCAAUCAUGGCAAAAGUGUGUCAGAAAUCAUAUCGAUACUCUUCCUCAGUCAUAAUUACCUUCCAUCAUACCUGAUUUCACUCCCAAUUUUCAGUGGAGUUUGUGUUGUUUCUUAAUUAUUAUUCACAGCUGUUGAUGUAAAUGUCCUUUGGUUUUGUGAGUUUUUGUUUACUCUUUGGUUUUAAUUGUUAUUGUCUUAAACGUUUAAAGUGAAGUAGACAUUAUGUUCAAUAUCCCUACCCGGCGAUAAAAAAAAGUCUUGGUAGUGUCACUCUAUAAUUAUAAAGUGUUGACACGGAUAUAUGUAUCACAUUUCAUGUCUAUAGUUAUUUUUAUAGAACUUUAAAUGCAAUUUUAAAUUAAAAUGAAAAUACUCGAUCAUGCAUUUAUUAUGCAACACACUUAACAUCAACUAAUCAUGACUUAAGUUGCAGGGUCAAAUAAUUUCCCUUGAAAUGAGAUCUCAGAGUGCUGUUACAAAUCUAUACAAAAUAUCAUUGAUGGUUAUCUUUAAACUGACACAAUAAAAAAAAAACUUUAAUUGUUAUCGAUUUCAAGCGUUUGCGAUCAAUGAACCGUCGUUUCGGGGUGACGCCUUAUAAUUUCCAUAACAAAAUGCCUAUGCUAUAUAAUACAAAUGCAUACAACAUAUCAAAUAACUCAUCGCUAGUAGUCCCCCUUUUAAAAAAAUAAUCUUAUCACAAAUUAAAAAAAUAUGUUAACGUUGCAGACGCCACCGGAAACAGCACGUCUCUAUUGCCGUUAUUUCAUAGAGGCGAGAAAAUAAAUAUCUUAACUAAUAUUUUUUACUGAAAUUCUUUAAUUGAUGUAACGUUAGUGAAACUUUAUCGAAUUAUGAAUUUCGAUUAAAAAAGGCUAGAACUGCUUUCGAUAGGUUAAAAUGUAUAGGAUAAAAACAUCAUGUAUACGUUUAGAUAUAGUCAUCUUCGCUAGCAAAGGGUUGCGACCCUCCCCCAGAUGGCAUAUAGUAAGUCUAUUGAAAAUGCAUUUUGGUGUGUUAAUAUAGAAAUUUAAUAGAUUCAUGUCGAUACCGAUAAUUUAAACGAAAAUUUGGGUCGGUCUUUCCUUUAAGACUAGAUCAUAUUCUACUCAAAUAAACAAUAUAACAAAAUAAAAGAAAUCCAAGGCAAAUUCAAAAUGGUUGUCUAAAAAAAAAAUCUAAAUUGAGAAUCAAUCUACGGAACAAAUGAAAAAAAUAUCUGCUAUGUAACUUUAAUCUAAAAAAAAGUGAUAUGUUUGAAAAACUAUUAGAGUUUCGAAAGAAGCCGCAAAAAUUCAGUUUAGCACUAGAUAAAAGGGUAAAACUGCUACAUCAUGUAAUAUGAAAAAUAAAGUUACAAUAAAAACACACCACAUCUACAUGACAAUAAGUAGCAUUUAAUUAUGUUUUUACAAAAGAAAACGUAGCAGUUUAAUUUUAAAAAGGAUACAAACUUUUGCAAUAAUUUUGCUAUCAAUCAUAUUGCUAAACUUAAUUAUCGUUUAUUUUUUAAUAAUAGGUUAACAGUUUAUAUGUUCAUAAUGAAAUUUUACUGUGUUGCUCGUAUAACUUGUCAAUUUGACUUUUUUCUUUGAAGGGGCGUUGGAAGGGCUGAAAAACGAUUUCGCACCCUAUUAAUAAACGAAACUCAACUGUUUGUCGUGUGAACUGAAAUCGAACUAAACGUAUUUGUAUAAAUUUUUUUUAGUGUCGGCAUAUUUACAAUUUCGUAUCAGAAUAUAUCGUGACUCCACAUAAGAAAUUGACCCCACUGUUGGGCCGUUGUUGGUAUUAUGUGCUCUGGUUGGGUAAGCGAAUCCUGCUCCACAUGUUUAACGCAUACGAUAAAUCAUUUACUAUGCGAGUAUUAGCAGUUUUCAUGUAUUCACAGGAACAUGGCCAGUAAUUGGAGUAAAUGUGGUGUCUGUGAUGAUCGUCAGGUUACCACGCCAUCAGUAGUCUGGUGUUCCGAAUGUGACAAAGGACUAUGCGUAGAUUGUAACGAACAUCACAGUGUUUCCAAGGCAUCAGGAAACCACGAAACCGUUUAUAUCGCCGACAACCAGAAGUUACCGACAGAAAUUCUCCAAAUCGCCCAGUUCUGCAAAAUUCAUAACGAGAAAUAUGAACUUUUCUGCAGAAAACACGACUGUCCAUGCUGCAAAAAAUGUGUGAAAACGCAUAACGACUGCAAAGAUUUAACCGACAUCAAAGAAAUCAUAUCAAACGUAAAAGCAUCAAGUGCCUUUUAUGAUAUCGAACAAACUAUAUUGGAACUGGCCGAGAAUGUAAGGCGAAUCCGUUCCAACCGAGAAGACAAUUUAAAAUCACUGAAAAUGGAGAGAGGACAAAUUGAAGCAGAAAUCGAACAAACCAGAAUAAAGUUAAAUAAUGAUCUAGAUAUACUUAAAGAUGAAGUAAUGAAAGAAUUAAUGACAGCUGAACAAACCGAAAGCAAGAAAAUACACAAGUUGCUGACUACUUUAAAGGCUAAGGAAACGCAGAUCACAAAAUACCAAUCAAACAUGUGUGAUAUUAAACAGCAUGCAUCCGAACUCCAAACCUUCUUGACCAUCAAACAUAUUGAAAAGGAUUUAAAGGUCGAAGAAAAAUUUAUUCGGUCGAUUACUGAAAGUUCCACCACUAAUCAGGUGAAUAUUAUAUCCCAAAUUAACAAGAACUUCAAGAAGUUUGCAAAAAUUGAUGUCUGGUAUCGUCCACGGAAUUUUACUAUUCAGACACGGAAGGACAGACAAGCCCAGAUUAUGGUAGCUCUUCCAGCUAGAAAUAUCGAUAACCUGACUCUGAGAUUACAGAAACGUAUCAAUAUAAAGUUGUCAGAUGUCUCUGGUUGUUCAAAGCUCCUAGAUGGAAGGAUGAUUUUCUCUUGCUAUGACCAAAAUAAGAUAAGCAUAUUCAAACCUGACGGUUCGAAAGAUUUUGACAUAAUUAGUAUCUGUUAUACGUUUGAUGUGGUAUUUAUUGGUGAUGAUUCUAUUGCUGUAACAUGCGGCGAUUCAAAAAAGAUUAAUGUAAUCGACUUAAAGAAGAAAAAACUGAAGAAAUCAAUAAAUAUAAAUUCACACAAUAGAGGAGUAGUAUAUAGAGACGGACAUUUGAUUUAUUGUGCCAGUGAUAAAGGACUACAGAUGAUCAAUCUACGUGAUGAAUCCAUUACCAAUGUUACCAAUAACAAAGUCUCAGGAAUAUCGUACGUUACAACAUUCGGUGACAAACUGUUCUACACAAACUAUAAAAACGACAGUGUAACCUGUUGUGAUUACCAUGGUAACAUACUGUGGACGUUCUGUGAUACACGUGUUCUGAGCUGUCCACUCGGUAUCACUGUAGACAAUGGCGGUAACGUGUUUGUAGUGGGACAUAUUUCUAAUAAUGUGGUCAUUAUCUCUUCCGAUGGACUACGCCACAGACAACUUUUAUCACGUGAAGAUGGACUGAAGGGACCACAGGUUCUGCACUAUGGCACUUCUACCAAUACAUUGUUAGUGGCAAAUGAAUGCAAUGAUGCAUUCUUGUAUGAAGUUAAAUUAUAAGCUUUGUUUUAAUUUUGAUUAUGUUCUUAAAAUUUUGUGUACAUUUAUAUGUAUAUAUGUAAAAG